GGCUUUGAUGAUGGUGCUUUUUUUUAUUUCUGACACCUCUUGUAUGAGAAGAGCCUUCAAAAAGUUCUUCGCUGAGCAAAUUAAGCAAACUAUCUGAGCC